rnacentral:rRNA from 1 species
UACGUAGGGGGCAAGCGUUGUCCGGAAUCAUUGGGCGUAAAGCGCGCGUAGGCGGCCCUGUAAGUCCGCUGUGAAAGUCAAAGGCUCAACCUUUGAAAGCCGGUGGAUACUGCAGGGCUAGAGUCCGGAAGAGGCGAGUGGAAUUCCUGGUGUAGCGGUGGAAUGCGCAGAUAUCAGGAGGAACACCAAUAGCGAAGGCAGCUCGCUGGACGGUACUGACGCUAAGGCGCGAAAGCGUGGGGAGCGAACGAGG